rnacentral:rRNA from 1 species
UUCCGGUUGAUCCCGCCGGACCUGACUGCUAUCGGAUUGAUACUAAGCCAUGCGAGUCAUUGUAGCAAUACAAGGCAGACGGCUCAGUAACGCGUAGUCAACCUAACCUAUGGACGGGAAUAACCUCGGGAAACUGAGAAUAAUGCCCGAUAGAACAUUAUACCUGGAAUGGUUUAUGUUCCAAAUGAUUUAUCGCCGUAGGAUGGGACUGCGGCCUAUCAGUUUGUUGGUGAGGUAAUGGCCCACCAAGACUAUUACAGGUACGGGCUCUGAGAGGAGUAGCCCGGAGAUGGGUACUGAGACACGGACCCAGGCCCUAUGGGGCGCAGCAGGCGAGAAAACUUUGCAAUGUGCGAAAGCACGACAAGGUUAAUCCGAGUGGUUUCUGCUAAAGGAACCUUUUGUUAGUCCUAGAAACACUAACGAAUAAGGGGUGGGCAAGUUCUGGUGUCAGCCGCCGCGGUAAAACCAGCACCUCAAGUGGUCAGGAUGAUUAUUGGGCCUAAAGCAUCCGUAGCCGGCUCUGUAAGUUUUCGGUUAAAUCUGUACGCUCAACGUACAGGCUGCCGGGAAUACUGCAGAGCUAGGGAGUGGGAGAGGUAGACGGUACUCGGUAGGAAGGGGUAAAAUCCUUUGAUCUAUUGAUGACCACCUGUGGCGAAGGCGGUCUACCAGAACACGUCCGACGGUGAGGGAUGAAAGCUGGGGGAGCAAACCGGAUUAGAUACCCGGGUAGUCCCAGCUGUAAACUAUGCAAACUCAGUGAUGCAUUGACUUGUGGUCAAUGCAGUGCUGCAGGGAAGCCGUUAAGUUUGCCGCCUGGGAAGUACGUACGCAAGUAUGAAACUUAAAGGAAUUGGCGGGGGAGCACCACAAGGGGUGAAGCCUGCGGUUCAAUUGGAGUCAACGCCGGG